AAAACUUUACUUUAAAAAUAAACACAUUAUAACAAAAUAGAAAGUAUACACUAAGGGGAUUUAAAAAAAGGGGAAUCUAGGGGAAAGUUCAAGAAAUGUGAGUCUUAUUUAUACUCUGUCAUGGAAGCUAUGAGUGGCAUGCAAAAUGAAAACAACAAUGAAUAUACAUAAUCAUAUGACUGUUAUUGUACCAAAACAUCAUUAGGCAGAGAAAACACAACUUAGAAUAGAAGGUGCAGAUGAAGGUAAUGGAAUAUAGAUAAAUAAGUCUUAAUUUCCUACAUCGUUGAUACAGCUGAAUCAGAAUUUUGGCUUGAGUUUCCUGGCAGCCAAAGGAAGAAGAGAAACAAGGUCAUUUAUUUCUUUUCACUCAUUAGGGAUGUAUACAUAAUUCCUUAAGUGAAGCUAACACAACAUUCAAGUCUUUAAGAACCUCCUAGUGCAGGUCUUAUAGAUGACAUUUGGGUUGCAGUGCACAGAGUUCUCAUGGAUAUCCCAACUGCAAUUCUGUUGUAGAGGGACUACCACAGGUUUGGUCUUUGAAUGGGGCUGUCAGGUUUCUGGCCUCAAGGGUGAGCUGUGCACAUCUCUUCCCAACUCUGCCUUCAGUGAUGUCAUGUUGGUAGUUUGAAAUCAACUAUGGGGGAGUAUUUACGAAGUUGGUAUUGGCAAUUACUACAAAUCAGAGACUUUUCCAAAACA